UAAAACUCCGUACACUACAGCAAAAAUGGUCUAUAGCGACACUUUUAAAUAUCGGCACAGGUCAAAAAAAGUGCUGCUGGCUAAAUUACCGAUGCUUUUAAAAAGUGUCGCCAUAUAUGGGGUCGUUAGAUAUAUAGUGACAGUUAAAGAGUGUCGCUAUAAUCUAAAAAGAGUGCUGCUAAUUUACCAACACUUAUUUAAGCAUUUAGCAACCGUCGGAACUCUACCUCGUUGGCUGCGGUAGUGGAGGAGGAUGAGAGGGAAGGGCUCUUCGUUUAGGAUUUCAAUGAAUUGAGUGAGGGGGGAAGGGGAGAUGGUAAUAGAAAUUUUUUUUUUAUUUAUUUUCUGUUUGUAAUCGGGCCGAGUGGGCUAGGUGGGGUGGGUUGAGUAGAAUAACCUUUAGCAUAAAUAGGGCACUUACACAAAAAGUGUUCCAAACAUGUGUACCUAUAAUCUAAUUCUGUUGUA
rnacentral:lncRNA from 1 species